rnacentral:rRNA from 1 species
CGGGGAACUUGGGGACAGGGGCCGAGGGAAUACGAAGGGGGCUAGGGUUGGUCGGAAUCACUGGGCGUAAAGCGCACGGAGGCGGCUUCCUAAGUAAGGGGUGAAAGCCGGGAGCGCAACUCCAGAACUGCCUUUGAUACUGGGAGGCUUGAGUCCGGGAGAGGGGAGUGGAACUGCGAGUGUAGAGGUGAAAUUCGUAGAUAGUCGCAAGAACACCAGUGGCGAAGGCGGCUCACUGGCCCGGUACUGACGCUGAGGUGCGAAAGCGUGGGGAGCAAACAGGAUUAGAUACCCCAGUAUC